UUAAAAACAGGGCAAAACUUGUGAGUAAAAAAUAUAAGAUACAUAAGGUCUACUCUGAAAAAAUGCAUAGUUGUGCCAAAACUUUCUGUUGAUAUCCAGUGGAGAUGUUAGAAGGCACAAAAAACCAAAAAGUAUGAUAAACAUCCACAAUAAGAAAAGGAACAUAUUAAUUUGGUCUCCUCCAAAUAUUUCACCUUGAUAGUGUUCCAACAAUAGUCACAAAAGAAAAUUGUGCAGUAGUUGUACGAGUAUGUGCUAACAUAGUAUUACAUAUGACAAUAAUAAAACUCAAAACUAGCCCACAUUAAGAAAGGUUGUUCCUAGCAGAAAUUGGCAUUCUAUUACACAUUGACAAUUGUAAGACAAGGAAUCCUAAGAUCAGUAGCUUUGUGGCAGAUCUUCUUCUUUCAAUUGAUUCAAGGUACUUUUGAAUAAUUUGAAUGCAGAGAUCAUUCUGUACAUUGGUAUGUUCUCCUACAUACAAAACACAAUGUAUCAAUAAUAUUAAUAUAGAGGGAAAAAUCAUUGAGAAGUAAAACAGAAGGUAUACAAAAGUUGACAAACAGAAGAUAUACGGAAGUUUGCUAUUAACUGUUGAAACUAUUUUAAAAAAGAAGUGCAGAAAACUGCAGACACUUCCGAAACGAAAGAGGAGUAGUAUACAGAAGUUGACAAAACGUAAGGUAUACAAUAGUUUGCUAUGCUAUUUUUAGUUAACUGCAUAAACAACUUCAAGAAAGAAAUGCAAAAACUACAGAAACUGCAUCAAAAAAAGAGGAGUAGGAACUAAACAUAAAUACAUGAUAUAUAUCUUCUUUUCAGUUUUGUCGGUCG
rnacentral:lncRNA from 1 species